rnacentral:lncRNA from 1 species
AGGUUUGGUCAUUUCCUCCUUAUUAUUCGUUCAUAAAGUAACAGAUAUCGAGUGCCGUCAGACUCAUCUUGAUAUCAGUGGUGCCAUGAAUACCUGAGGAAGAGUGAGAACUGAAGAUGGAUCCUGAGCUUAAUGAAUCCUCUCAUUGAGAGCAACUGAAAUCUGCACAUCA